UACGGAGGGUGCGAGCGUUAUUCGGAAUUACUGGGCGUAAAGCGCGUGUAGGCGGGGGGACAAGUCUGAUGUGAAAGCCCUGGGCUUAACCUGGGAAGUGCAUUGGAAACUGUUUUUCUUGAGUACUGGAGAGGAAGGGGGAAUUCCCGGUGUAGAGGUGAAAUUCGUAGAGAUCGGGAGGAAUACCAGUGGCGUAGGCGCCCUUCUGGACGGUAACUGACGCUGAGACGCGAAAGCGUGGGGAGCAAACAGG
rnacentral:rRNA from 1 species